rnacentral:tRNA from 1 species
UGGGCCGAUAGCUCAAUGGUAGAGCAGCUGCCUUUUAAGCAGUUGGUUCCGAGUUCGAGUCUCGGUCGGCUCAA